AUACAUGCUAGUCGAGCGGAUCUUCGGAUUAGCGGCGAACGGGUGAGUAAUACAUAUCUAACAUACCUCAAAGAGGGGGAUAGCCGCUCGAACGCUCGGUUAAUACCCCAUAGUAGCCCCGGCACAUGCCGGGACGUUUAAAGGAGUAAUCCGCUUUGAUAUUGGGAUAUGCUCUAUUAGCUAGUUGGCGGGAUAACAGCCCACCAAGGCGAUGAUAGAUAGCUGGAUUGAGAAGUUGAACAGCCACAAUGGGAUUGAGAUACGGCCCAUAUUCCUACGGGAAGCAGCAGUAGGGGAUCUUCCACAAUGGGCGAAAGCCUGAUGGAGCAAUACCAUGUGAACGACGAAGGUCUUAUUGAUUGUAAAGUUCUUUUAAGAGGGAAAAUACAAGAUGGUACCUCUUGAAUAAGUGACAGCAAACUAUGUGCCAGCAGCUGCGGUAAUACAUAGGUCGCGAGCGUUAUUCGGAUUUAUUGGGCGUAAAGAGAGCGCAGGCGGAUGAAUAAGUUCUGUGUUAAAAGUAGCCGCUCAACGGUUGUUUGCGCCGAAUACUGUUCGUCUUGAAUACGGUAGAAAGUUUUGGAAUUGAAUGUGGAGCGGUGGAAUGUGUAGAUAUAUUCAAGAACACCAGAGGCGAAGGCGAAAACUUAGGCCGAUAUUGACGCUUAGGCUCGAAAGUGUGGGGAGCAAAUGGGAUUAGAUACCCCAGUAGUCCACACCGUAAACGAUGGAUAUUUGAUGUUGGGGGUGAGAACUUCAGCGUUGUAGCUUACGUGUUAAAUAUCCCGCCUGGGUAGUACAUAUGCAAAUAUGAAACUCAAAGGAAUUGACGGGGACCUGAACAAGUGGUGGAACAUGUUGCUUAAUUCGAUAAUACACGAAAAACCUUACCAAGACUUGACAUCCCUUGCAAAGCCCUGGAAACAGGGUCAGAGGUUAUCAAGGUGACAGGUGGUGCAUGGUUGUCGUCAGCUCGUGUCUUGAGAUGUUUGGUUAAGUCCCGCAACGAGCGCAACCCUACUCUCUAGUUACUCUGUUUAGAGAGACUGAACAGCAAUGUAUAGGAAGGAUAGGAUCACGUCAAAUCAUCAUGCCCCCUUAUGUCUUGGGCUGCAAACGUGUUACAAUGGCGAGUACAACGUGCUGCAAACCAGCGAUGGUAAGCAAAUCACUCAAAGCUCGCCCCAGUUCGGAUAAAAGGCUGCAAUUCGCCUUUUUGAAGUUGGAAUCACUAGUAAU
rnacentral:rRNA from 1 species